rnacentral:lncRNA from 1 species
ACACUAGUACUAUCAUUGUUUCGUAAACUAAACACUGACUAUUUCUUAAACAGAACACUAGUACUAUCACUGUUUCGUAAACUAAACAUUGACUAUUUAUCAAACGAACACUAGUACUAUCACUAUUUCGUAAACUAAACACUGACUAUUUAUCAAACGAACACUAGUACUAUCACUGUUUCGUAAACUAAACACUUAAUCAUUUCAUCUUCUUAAAAACUCACUUGAAAAAGAUAUGAGUAAAAUAUUGCAAAAGGCUAGAAAUAGUCAACAU